rnacentral:rRNA from 1 species
CCUACGGGAGGCAGCAGUGGGGAAUUUUGGACAAUGGGCGCAAGCCUGAUCCAGCAAUGCCGCGUGAGUGAAGAAGGCCUUCGGGUUGUAAAGCUCUUUUGUCAGGGAAGAAACGGUGGUUCCUAAUACGGACUACUAAUGACGGUACCUGAAGAAUAAGCACCGGCUAACUACGUGCCAGCAGCCGCGGUAAUACGUAGGGUGCAAGCGUUAAUCGGAAUUACUGGGCGUAAAGCGUGCGCAGGCGGUUAUAUAAGUCAGAUGUGAAAUCCCCGGGCUCAACCUGGGAACUGCAUUUGAGACUGUAUGGCUAGAGUGUGUCAGAGGGGGGUAGAAUUCCACGUGUAGCAGUGAAAUGCGUAGAUAUGUGGAGGAAUACCGAUGGCGAAGGCAGCCCCCUGGGAUAACACUGACGCUCAUGCACGAAAGCGUGGGGAGCAAACAGGAUUAGAUACCCUGGUAGUCCACGCCCUAAACGAUGUCUACUAGUUGUCGGGACUUAAUUGUUCUUGUACGCAGCUACGCGUGAGUAGACCGCCGUGGGAGGUACGGUCGCGAGAAGUAAACGUACGAAGUAGAAGUUAGAGCGNGAGAGAGCGACGGACGACGACGAGGGAGGAGG